GUACAUAAGUGUGGCCUUCCUUCUCGCGCUCCCACUGCUGCAUCAUUUCCGGGUCAGGUGUUUGGCUGUGCAGAGCAGCGACCAAGUGCUCCAUGUGCCGUGCUCCGUUUUAUUCCUUGGUUCUCUCAAGCGGUGGUAAGUGUCCAGUCUCUCUCUCUGUGUUAAACCAAAUGCUAUCCUGUAGCUGAUGCUAGUGUGGUCACAGGUAGAUGUCUGCUGCCGUGUGGGUCUUUCUCUCCCUCCCUCUCCGUGUGCAGGUUUGACUUUGAAAACAGGGAAUGCUCAUCAGCUGGCCGAAGUCUACAGGUGGUGAUUCACGUGACUCCACCACCAGCUGAUUGGGGCCGCUGCUGCUUUGUCUACUGCUAAACGUGCUGCUUUGUCUACUGCUAAACAUGCUGUUUUGUCUACUGCUAAACGUGCUGCUUUGUCUACUGCUAAACGUGCUGCUUUGUCUACUGCUAAACGUGCUGCUUUGUCUACUGCUAAACGUGCUGCUUUGUCUACUGCUAAACGUGCUGUUUUGUCUACUGCUAAACGUGCUGCUUUGUCUACUGCUAAACGUGCUGUUUUGUCUACUGCUAAACGUGCUGCUUUGUCUGCCGCUGCUUUCUCAGCAGCUUUGUCUCUGCUGCUAAAUGUACAGUUUUGUCUCUGCUGCUGUUUAACCUACGCGGCUUUGUCUGCUGCUGUGUCUCGGUUGCUAACUACACAGCCUACUCUCUGCUGCUAAAUAUACGGCUUUGUUUCUGCCGUGAAUUACAGUGUGUCUACUGCUUGGCUACUUGGUUGCUGGACUUUGGACUACAGUUGGCUUGCAUGGUGGAUUGCCGACACCAGACUUUUAACCUGUUUAGUUCUUUAAUUUUAGCCGAAUGACUGAGGAGUUAAUCCUUUUAGUUUGUAUUACUUUGUUUUGUUUACUUUAUCAUUUGAAUUAAGUAAAUUGUUUUGUUUUCUUUACAUUAUUAUUGUUUGAAUUAAGUAAAUUGGUUUCUUUACUUUAUUGUUUGGACUAAGUAAAUUGUUUUGUUAAGCUGAUUUUGGGAAUUAUUUCCUGUUUUAUGUUGUAGGUUUUGUUGUACAUUUUUGGGUUUAAUUCUGUUGUAACCUCCUUUUGUUUGUCCUUUCCAGUGGCUGCAGGCUGGUGGUGGUGCUGGUGACGUGGGUGGUGGUGGUCUUUCUUGUGUGCCGUGUUUCCUUUUAUUAAUUCUCCUUCCCCUUCACCUGCUCUUCCCACCAGUAGGCCUCAGCCCCUGAUUAGGUUUUUCUUUUUCUUAUUUGUGAUGCAUGCAAAAUUUUAUGGUAA